ACUCAAAGGAAUAGACGGGGGCCCGCACAAGCGGUGGAGCAUGUUGUUUAAUACGUCACUAACCGUAGAACCUUACCAGGGUUUGACAUCUGAGGCACCGGUGUGAAAGCAUCGUUCCCCGCAAGGGGACCUCAAGACAGGUGUUGCAUGGCUGUCGUCAGCUCGUGUCGUGAGAUGUUGGGUUAAGUCCCGCAACGAGCGCAACCCUCAUCCCCUGUUGCCAGCGGGUAAAGCCGGGAACUCUGGGGAAACUGCCGGGGUAACUCGGAGGAAGGUGAGGAUGACGUCAAGUCAGCAUGGCCCUUACAUCCUGGGCUACAAACAUGCUACAAUGGACGGUAGACAGACCGAGCCGACGCCGUGAGGUCGAGGAAAUCGGAGAAAUCCGUUCUCAGUUCGGAUUGCAGGCUGCAACUCGCCUGCAUGAAGCCGGAAUCGCUAGUAACCGCCGGUCAGCUAAACGGCGGUGAAUACGUUCCCGGGCCUUGUACACACCGCCCGU
rnacentral:rRNA from 1 species